UGACAUCAGUCCUGAACAAAGGGUAAUAAUUGAGAUGUGUUGUCAAGCAGUGCAGUGACAGAAAAAUAACCUUGCUGAUCUCCUCUGUAUCUGUGAAUAAUUAUCAGCUAUAAAAAAGGAAUAGUCUCUUAUUGGCCUGUGCUGAGGACUACAUCAGUCUCCUGUAAUUAUCAUCUACACUGAAAAACAAAGAGGACAGAGGCACAGCUAGUGGCCCUCACCAUCCCCUGCAAGCUGAUUGCUUCUUACUGCAAGCACUUGAGCAUCUUCCUUGACAACUUUCUUAGGCAAUGGGAACCAGGCUUGGCCCAUUCACAGGCAGGUGAGAAGGAUGAGGAAAUGGAGAAGGCGUUGUCCAAGGAGCAGUCUUCAACCUUCGUCUUUCAAGUGAGACAACUCUAAAUAAGAUGUGUUCUAUGCUCUAGCUGCUCAUGUGAUAAGCUGCCUAUUAAUGCACCCAAGACUGCCUUUCCUCUUUGCUUUGUCUUCCUCCUGCUCUCCUAUCACAGUUUCCUGGGAUUGCCUCCAAAUAAACCACUUGUACUCAC